AUUCUCCCUCCAAAAUUUUGUCUCCUCCAACUCCCACUCCUCACUCUGCCGUCCGCCUUCCUAAUUACUUAUUAUUAUUUAUUUCAAAAAAACAAAAUGAGAGAGAGAAAAGCUCACACAAAGCUCUGAAUCUCAUUCCUUACCUUUCUUCUUCUUCUUUGAUCAGCCAUGUCCUUCUCCUCCAUCAUCGCACCACUCUCUUCCGGCCUCGCUGUACUUCCUCGCUCCGGAAACCAUGUUCCUCACGACUUGGUUUUGUUGAGAUUGGCCUCUCAUCACUCUCAAUUCAGACAUGUUUCUUUUCCGAUAGCUAGGGUUAGUGUCCGAGUUCCACGCGCCUCCUCGGUGGUGGUUGAUGAUCAAGUGGCGGAGAGAAACGGGGAAUGGAAAGAGAAAGGAGGAGUUCUUAGAGUUGGAGUUGUUUGCGGUGGUCCUUCUGCUGAGCGAGGGAUUUCUCUUAAUUCAGCUAGAUCAGUUAUUGAUCACAUACAGGGUGAUGAUUUGCAUGUCAGUUGCUACUACAUUGAUUGUGAUUAUAAUGCGUAUGCAAUAUCAUCUGCUCAGGUAUACUCAAACACUCCAUCAGAUUUUGACUUUAAACUUGAAAGCCUUGCCCAGGGUUUCCAGUCUUUGUCUGAUUUUGCUGAACAUCUAGCUGCCUCUGUGGACAUAGUGUUCCCUGUUAUACACGGUCAAUUUGGUGAAGAUGGUGGCAUUCAGGAGUUGCUGGAAAAAUAUAAUAUUCCUUUUGUUGGCACAGGUUCGAGUGAGUGUCGUCAGGCAUUUGAUAAAUACAAUGCCUCAUUGGAACUCAGCAGACAAGGCUUCGUCACAGUACCUAGCUAUUUAGUGCAGAACAAUGAAGCAAAUGAAUAUGAACUGUCAGAGUGGUUUGCAAGAAAUCAGCUGGACGCUAAUUCAGGAAAAGUUGUGGUAAAACCAGCACGAGCAGGUUCAAGCCUUGGUGUUAAAGUUGCAUAUGGUGUGGAUGAUUCUCUUAAGAAGGCUGAGGCAAUUAUAUCAGAGGGAAUUGAUAAUAAAGUCCUAAUUGAAGUAUUUCUUGAAGGAGGGAGUGAAUUUACAGCAAUUGUUCUUGAUGUUGGGUCUGGUUUAGAUUGCCAACCUGUUGUACUUCUGCCAACUGAGGUGGAGCUUCAAUUUCAUGGUGAAGUUGAUGUGAGAGAGAAGGAUGCAAUUUUCAACUAUAGGAGGAAGUAUCUCCCAACACAGCAGGUUGCUUAUCAUACGCCACCUCGUUUUCCUAUUGAUGUUAUUGAAACUAUUAGAGAGGGAGCAUCUCUUUUGUUCCAACAACUAGGUUUACGUGAUUUUGCACGAAUUGAUGGGUGGUUUUUGCCUAAUUCUGUUAACGUAUCAUCAUUUUCAGAGAGUAAUUUUGGGAGGACUAAAUUCGGUACAAUAGUAUUUACUGACAUAAACCUGAUUAGUGGAAUGGAGCAGACCAGCUUUUUAUUUCAACAAGCUUCCAAGGUUGGGUUUUCCCAUUCAAACAUUCUUCGGGGCAUCAUUUACCGUGCCUGCUCACGGUUUCUUGAACUUGCAUCAUUCAAAAGUGUAUCAUCUCAUCUUUUGCCUAAAAGAACAAAACCAUCCCUGCUUAGCGAGCCGCUUCCAAAACGUGAAGGUGCUCGCAAAGUAUUUGUCAUUUUUGGAGGAGACACAUCAGAGCGACAAGUAUCUCUUAUGAGUGGUACAAAUGUUUGGCUCAAUUUGCAAGCUUUUGAUGAUCUUGAAGUGAUUCCGUGUUUGCUAGCUCCUACUUCUGGAUAUUCAGCUAUUGUAGAUUCAAACGAGAAGGAUGCUGAAGUAAGAUCCAGGACAGUUUGGUCACUUCCUUACUCUCUCGUUCUAAGACACACAACAGAGGAAGUUCUUGGUGCAUGCAUAGAAGCAAUUGAACCAGCCCGGGCUGCAUUGACAUCUCACCUACGUAACAAAGUGAUGAAAGAUCUUAUGGAAGGUCUUAAGGCUCAUAGCUGGUUUAAAGGGUUUGAUAUUAGUGAUGAACCUCCAGUGAGAUUUUCUUUGGAGCAGUGGAUCAAACAUGCCAAGGAAGUUCAGGCUACAGUGUUCAUUGCAGUGCAUGGAGGCAUUGGUGAAGAUGGUAGGCUUCAAUCAUUGCUGGAGGAUGAGGGGGUUCCUUAUACAGGUCCGGGAGUGAUAGCUUCAAAGACUUGUAUGGAUAAAGUUGCAACAUCUCUUUCUCUUAGCCAUCUUUCAAAGUCUGGAGUUCUUACCAUAAAUAAAGAGGUACGAAGAAAAGAGGAACUUCUGAGAAGCCCUAGGCUAGAAAUGUGGCAUGAUUUGACCACAAAGCUUCAUUGCAAAACACUAUGUGUUAAACCAGCAAGAGAUGGAUGCUCGACAGGGGUUGCAAGGUUAUGCUGUGCAGAAGACCUAGCAGUGUAUAUAGAUGUAUUGAGGGAGAGCCUUUUAAGGAUUCCUCCAAAUAGUUUGUCAAAGGCUCACGGGACGAUUGAGAUGCCAAAUCCUCCUCCAGAACUCUUGAUCUUUGAACCUUUUAUUGAGACUGAUGAGAUAAUCAUUUCAUCUAAAUCUACUGAUGAAUAUCUACACCGACUCAAGUGGAAAGGACAGAGUAGAUGGGUGGAAGUAACUGUUGGUGUUAUAGGAAAAUGUGGAUCUAUGCGUUCUCUGAGUCCUAGUAUCACUGUUAAGGAAAGUGGUGAUAUUUUAUCACUGGAGGAGAAAUUUCAAGGUGGAACUGGCAUCAAUCUGACUCCACCUCCGUUAUCCAUUAUCAGCGAUGAGGCAUUAACGAGAUGUAAACAGCGUAUUGAACUAAUUGCAAACACACUGCAACUAGAAGGAUUUUCACGAAUUGAUGCAUUUGUAAAUGCAGACAGUGGAGAGGUGUUGAUUAUAGAAGUCAAUACUGUUCCUGGAAUGACUCCUUCUACUGUUCUGAUUCAUCAGGCAUUAUCGGAGGAACCUCCAAUGUAUCCUCACAAAUUCUUUCGUACACUACUUGAUUUGGGUUCAGAGAGGUCUUUGUAAUUGUAAACGUACCAGUUCCGCUAUUGCUUCUUCAGGAUGCUUUUCUAUCUGAACCAAAUGCAAGAACCACCCCAACAGCACAAGACCAAAACGAAAGGGACUCGAAAAAUUACCAGCAAAGAAGAUGAGCAGAUUAUGGAGAGCAAGGAUUAUUAUCCACCAUAAUCAUUCCUCAGGUUUUGAAGGUCUGGAGAAAUUGUCAAUUGGAUAGGGCUUUUGGAUUUUUUUCUUGAAUGAUAGUAAAGCUGUCAAUAUUAAGAAGCCCUAUUAAGAAAACUGCAGUGGUUUUGAGCUUUUUGGGCUUAAAAUUUAUUGCAAUUUGAAGUACUGAUUCAGUUACUUCAACCAUGAAUGGGGGUGACUUGACAACAGUUCCAGAUAGUCUAGUUUCUCCAUCACCCAAGUUCCUGAAAAUUGCAGAUGAAAGAGAAGAAAUCUCGGGUUUUAGAGGACAUUUCAAUCGGAUUGCUUCUCAUAAAGUUGAUUGGGAAACUUUGAAGAAAUGCAGCAAAAUAUGGAUCAAGAACCCUCUGAAUAUGGCCCUUCUUUUAUGGAUUACCUGUGUUGCUAUCUCAGGAGCAAUUCUUUUUCUCGUAAUGACAGGAAUGUUAAACAAUGUCCUGACUAAGAAAUCCGAAAGAGAUGCUUGGUUCGAGGUCAGUAAUCAAAUCAUCAAUGCUCUUUUCACUCUCAUGAGUUUGUACCAACACCCAAAGCGUUUCCACCACCUUGUUCUUCUGUGUAGGUGGAAACCAAAGGAUGUAUCAAUGCUCAGAAAGAUUUACAGCAAAAAUGGUACUUAUAAGCCUCAUGAAAGGGCUCAUAUGCUGGUUGUUAUUGUACUACUUCAUGUGAAUUGCUUUGCUCAAUAUGCCUUAUGUGGUCUCAACUUAGGAUACAAAAAAUUUGAAAGGCCUAAUAUAGGUGUUGUUAUCUGCCUUGUUAUAGCAAUGGCAGCCCAAGCAAUUGCAGGUGUUUACUGUAUUGUAAGUCCUCUUGGAAAGGAGUAUAAUUUCGAAUUCGAUGAAGAAGCACAGGAUCAAAAACUCACCAAUGGUGUUCCUCAGUUGAAGAGCUCAAGUUUUAUCCCCUUAGAGAAUGAACCUGAAUGGAAAGGGGGGUUACUUGAUUUAACCAACGAUGGUGUUUCAAUGACAAAUCUCUAUCUGUUAUGCGGUUUUUGUGUGUUUGGAUAUAACAUGGAAAGACUUGGAUUUGGUAACAUGUAUGUUCAUAUUGCAACUUUUUUCCUCUUCUGCACAGCUCCAUUGUUGAUCUUCGGCUUGGCUGCCACUCACUUUGAUAAUGUCACAAUAAGGGAAGCUCUUGGUGUAACCGGUAUUGUGCUGUGCGUGUUUGGUUUACUCUAUGGCGGUUUCUGGAGAAUCCAAAUGAGGAAGAAAUUUAACUUACCGUCGAAUCGCUUGUGUUGUGGUAACCCUGCAGUUACAGAUUGUGCUCAGUGGCUUUGCUGUUGUUGGUGUUCUCUUGCUCAAGAAUUUCGAACAGCGAAUCAUUAUGACAUGGUGGACAAUAAGUUCCGCCAGCGUGCUGCUGUCUCGCCUUUACAAGAUGGCGAUGACAGAGCGAUUCAAUUAAGCAUUUCUAGCCCUUCCAUUCUUGUUGGGGAAGAAGGCUGUUUGCAGAGUCCAAUGGUUAAAGACAUAGUUAUUAUAAACAACCCUAUGAAGCCACCUGUAGUACCAUCAACAAUUCAAAGAGAAGAUAUUACCAUUUUGUAGUGAUAUUAUUGUAAUGAGCUUUAGAAUUUUGUACCUUAAAGUGUUUAAUAUUAUAUUGACAUGACACUGUAUAAUUGGUUAGCAGUUUCUUAUAUAAUUUAUUAAAUUAAAAUGUAUAAAAUUCAAUAUUAAAGUGAACUAAUAACAAUAUGUCAUCCUGUAUGGUGUUUA